rnacentral:rRNA from 1 species
UUUGCCUGUUUAGCAAAAACAUGGCUCUCUGGGUAUUGUAUAUAGAGAGUCGGACCUGCCCAGUGAUAUAAUACAUUAAACGGCCGCAGUACCCUGACUGUGCAAAGGUAGCAUAAUCAUUUGCCCUAUAAUUGAGGGCUAGUAUGAAUGGUUUGACAAGAACAUAGCUGUCUCUUGUGGGAUAACUUAAAAUUAAAUCUUAGGUGAAGAUGCCUAAAUAAAAUUAAAAGACGAGAAGACCCUGUUGAGCUUUAAAAACUUUAAGGACAUCUAAAGAGUUUUUUUGGUUGGGGCGACCUAGGAAUAUACAAAGCUUCUUUUAUUACUUAAAACAUUUAGUUAUGAUCCAGUAAAACUGAUUAAUGAAAUAAGCUACCACAGGGAUAACAGCGUAAUUCUCUCUAAGAGUUCACAUUAAAGAGUGAGUUUGCGACCUCGAUGUUGGACUAAAAUAUCCUAAAGGUGCAGAUGCCUUUAAGGGUUGGUCUGUUCGACCAUUAAAAUUUUACAUGAUC